CGGUACACGCUGUUCAACGCCAUCAUUUCCAACUAUGACGUCUAAAAGGUGAUAAAAAUCAACCAACUAGUUCUCUUGGUUGGGGAGUUAUUUGGGUGGUAACGAAGCAGUGGACCAGGCAAUCAAUCGAGCACACCAUUGAGACAUGGAUCAACCUCCACUGAUUGACGGAGCUGUGGUGACUAAGAUUGACACCAUUGAUGAUAAGGUGAUGGCAGUUCUACCAGCUCUCUUCACAUCAGAGAGCUCUCUUGAGAAGCACUAUAGAGGCACUAUAAGGCCCAGGAGAAGGACUGCUUCUCAUGGC